UGGGGGCUCGUUGAAGUGGAAGUGAGCAGGGACUAAGAAUAAGUGUGGAGAACAGCCUAGGAGGGAAACUGAUAGAAGGCAGGAGACUAGAGGUGUGAGAGCUAUGUGGGGGAAGGGAAGCAGUGGUGGUUUUUAUUUGGAGUAUAGAGCUGCUUCAUAGUCUAGAGCUCCAGGGUUUGAACUUGUGGUAGAGGAAGAAUAAGGCUGUCUCAUGUAACUCGGGGUGGGAUGGUGAUAUCUCUGACUGCAAGAAGGACUUUGUUGUGUGAACCCAUGCAAACAAAGGGAAAACAUCAUGCUGGCCCUAGAGAUGGGAUUGUGGUCUAGGUAAGGUAAAUAACUUUAGACCCCUGCAACCAAGCAAAGAAGAUUGUAUGGAUCUGACAGACAGAAUUGGGGCUGGGGAAGGUAAAGGACUGUCUUCCUGUUUCAUGUGGACUCUUUAGUCUGGCAGGAGGGCUAAUUUAUACACAGCAAGAGGGGGAACUACCCCAUGGAGACAGGAGAAAGUGAGGCAGUGGUCACAUCUGACAGUGAGAGGUGCCUGGAAACCAUAGAAGCUUAUUGUUCCGGAAUAGCAGAAGAAAAAAUCCAGAGAUGCUCAAAGAGUGGCAUUUCAAGAAUGACCCUCCAGGCUGGACCUAAGAACCCUUAAAAACACUGCAUUUGGAUCAUUUGAAGCUAGGCUAUUCACCAUUGCCAGUCUUCCAUCUAGUCCAGCUUUCAGCUCUCCUUUCCUGUUCCUUAAAGUCCCUCCCUACACAUGCAUACACAGCCC